UACGAAGGGGGCUAGCGUUGCUCGGAAUCACUGGGCGUAAAGGGUGCGUAGGCGGGAUCUUAAGUCAGAGGUGAAAGCCUGGAGCUCAACUCCAGAACUGCCUUUGAUACUGGGAUUCUUGAGUUCGGAAGAGGUGAGUGGAACUGCGAGUGUAGAGGUGAAAUUCGUAGAUAUUCGCAAGAACACCAGUGGCGAAGGCGGCUCACUGGCCCGGUACUGACGCUGAGGUGCGAAAGCGUGGGGAGCAAACAGG
rnacentral:rRNA from 1 species